AUGCAGUCGAGGGGUAUAGUAGCAAUACUAGAGACCGGCGCACGGGUGCGUAACGCGUAUGCAAUCUACCUUUUGCAGAGGGAUAGCCCAGAGAAAUUUGGAUUAAUACCUCAUAGUAUAGUGAUACCGCAUGGUGCUACUAUUAAAGUCACAACGGCAAAAGAUGAGCAUGCGUCCCAUUAGCUAGUUGGUAAGGUAACGGCUUACCAAGGCAACGAUGGGUAGGGGUCCUGAGAGGGAGAUCCCCCACACUGGUACUGAGACACGGACCAGACUCCUACGGGAGGCAGCAGUGAGGAAUAUUGGACAAUGGGCGCAAGCCUGAUCCAGCCAUGCCGCGUGCAGGAUGACGGUCCUAUGGAUUGUAAACUGCUUUUAUACGAGAAGAAACACUCCGACGUGUCGGAGCUUGACGGUAUCGUAAGAAUAAGGAUCGGCUAACUCCGUGCCAGCAGCCGCGGUAAUACGGAGGAUCCAAGCGUUAUCCGGAAUCAUUGGGUUUAAAGGGUCCGUAGGCGGAUUUGUAAGUCAGUGGUGAAAUCUCCCCGCUCAACGGGGAAACGGCCAUUGAUACUGCAAGUCUUGAAUUAUUAGGAAGUAACUAGAAUAUGUAGUGUAGCGGUGAAAUGCUUAGAGAUUACAUGGAAUACCAAUUGCGAAGGCAGGUUACUACUAAUGGAUUGACGCUGAUGGACGAAAGCGUGGGUAGCGAACAGGAUUAGAUACCCUGGUAGUCCACGCCGUAAACGAUGGAUACUAGCUGUUGGGA
rnacentral:rRNA from 1 species